rnacentral:tRNA from 1 species
AGAUGGUUAAGACUUAAUUUUUUCACAAUUAAAACGUGAGUUCAAAUCUCUCCUGGGUUA